rnacentral:rRNA from 1 species
CAAUACUUAGUGGCAGACGGGUGAGUAACAUGUAGGUAUCUACCCUUUGGCCUGGAAUAACACGAGGAAACUUGUGCUAAUACUGGAUAAGUCUUUACGGAGAAAGCUUUAUGCACCAUUGGAUGAGCCUGCACUUGAUUAGUUUGUUGGUGGGGUAAUGGCCUACCAAGACUUUGAUCAAUAGCUGAUUUGAGAGGAUGAUCAGCCACAUUGGGACUGAGACACGGCCCAAACUCCUACGGGAGGCAGCAGUGGGGAAUCUUGCACAAUGGAGGAAACUCUGAUGCAGCGAUGCCGCGUGAGUGAAGAAGGCCUUUGGGUUGUAAAGCUCUUUCGUCGGGGAAGAAAAUGACUGUACCCGAAUAAGAAGGUCCGGCUAACUUCGUGCCAGCAGCCGCGGUAAUACGAAGGGACCUAGCGUAGUUCGGAAUUACUGGGCUUAAAGAGUUCGUAGGUGGUUGAAAAAGUUGGUGGUGAAAUCCCAGAGCUUAACUCUGGAACUGCCAUCAAAACUUUUCAGCUAGAGUUUGAUAGAGGAAAGCAGAAUUUCUAGUGUAGAGGUGAAAUUCGUAGAUAUUAGAAAGAAUACCAAUUGCGAAGGCAGCUUUCUGGAUCAUAACUGACACUGAGGAACGAAAGCAUGGGUAGC